rnacentral:rRNA from 1 species
GACAGAGGUGCCGAGCGUUAGGCGGAAUCACUGGGCUUAAAGCGUGUGUAGGCGGAGGCCUAAGUACCUUGUGAAAUCCCACGGCUCAACCGUGGAACUGCCGGGCAUACUGGCGAUCUUGAGGCAUUCAGGGGCGAGCGGAACAAAUGGUGGAGCGGUGAAAUGCGUAGAUAUCAUUUGGAACGCCAAUGGUGAAAACAGCUCGCUGGGAAUGAUCUGACGCUGAGACGCGAAAGCCAGGGGAGCGAACGGG